rnacentral:rRNA from 1 species
UCACACAGGGAAACUUAGAGUUUGAUCAUGGCUCAGAGCGAACGCUGGCGGCAGGCUUAACACAUGCAAGUCGAGCGGGCGUAGCAAUACGUCAGCGGCAGACGGGUGAGUAACGCGUGGGAACGUACCUUUUGGUUCGGAACAACACAGGGAAACUUGUGCUAAUACCGGAUAAGCCCUUACGGGGAAAGAUUUAUCGCCGAAAGAUCGGCCCGCGUCUGAUUAGCUAGUUGGUGAGGUAACGGCUCACCAAGGCGACGAUCAGUAGCUGGUCUGAGAGGAUGAUCAGCCACAUUGGGACUGAGACACGGCCCAAACUCCUACGGGAGGCAGCAGUGGGGAAUAUUGGACGAUGGGCGCAAGCCUGAUCCAGCCAUGCCGCGUGAGUGAUGAAGGCCCUAGGGUUGUAAAGCUCUUUUGUGCGGGAAGAUAAUGACGGUACCGCAAGAAUAAGCCCCGGCUAACUUCGUGCCAGCAGCCGCGGUACGC